rnacentral:rRNA from 1 species
CCGGCGACGGGUGAGUAACGCGUAUGCAACCUACCUAUCAGAGGGGAACGAACCGGCGAAAGUCGGACUAAUACCGCAUAAAACAGGGGUUCCACAUGGAAAUAUUUGUUAAAGAAUUAUCGCUGAUAGAUGGGCAUGCGUUCCAUUAGAUAGUUGGUGAGGUAACGGCUCACCAAGUCCACGAUGGAUAGGGGUUCUGAGAGGAAGGUCCCCCACACUGGUACUGAGACACGGACCAG